rnacentral:rRNA from 1 species
GACGAACGCUGGCGGCGUGCUUAACACAUGCAAGUCGAGCGGUAAGGCCCUUUCGGGGGUACACGAGCGGCGAACGGGUGAGUAACACGUGGGUGAUCUGCCCUGCACUCUGGGAUAAGCCUGGGAAACUGGGUCUAAUACCGGAUAUGAGCUCCUGUCGCAUGGCGGGGGUUGGAAAGGUUUACUGGUGCAGGAUGGGCCCGCGGCCUAUCAGCUUGUUGGUGGGGUAAUGGCCUACCAAGGCGACGACGGGUAGCCGACCUGAGAGGGUGACCGGCCACACUGGGACUGAGACACGGCCCAGACUCCUACGGGAGGCAG